UCUAGAACUCGAGAUAUGGGCUGAACACUGAACAGUGUCUGGGCUACAGGACAGAUUCCGACUUCUCCGUUUUUGCUACCAUUUGAACUCGAAAAUGACACUUUUAAAUCUUGGACUCUUAUGAAAGUUUUAAGCCUAUGUCUUAGCUUUCCAAA
rfam:Populus trichocarpa scaffold_14_contig_173, whole genome shotgun sequence.